rnacentral:piRNA from 1 species
CUGGUAUUUUAAGAAUGGAAAGUGUUUAAAC